AUUGAACGCUGGCGGCAGGCCUAACACAUGCAAGUCGAGCGGGGUUUUCGGACCUAGCGGCGGACGGGUGAGUAAUGCGUAGGAAGCUACCCGAUAGAGGGGGAUACCAGUUGGAAACGACUGUUAAUACCGCAUAAUGUCUACGGACCAAAGUGUGGGACCUUCGGGCCACAUGCUAUCGGAUGCGCCUACGUGGGAUUAGCUAGUUGGUGAGGUAAUGGCUCACCAAGGCGACGAUCCCUAGCUGGUUUGAGAGGAUGAUCAGCCACACUGGAACGGAGACACGGUCCAGACUCCUACGGGAGGCAGCAGUGGGGAAUAUUGGACAAUGGGCGCAAGCCUGAUCCAGCCAUGCCGCGUGUGUGAAGAAGGCCUUCGGGUCGUAAAGCACUUUCAGUAGGGAGGAAGGGUUAAGUGUUAAUAGUACUUAACUUUGACGUUACCUACAGAAGAAGCACCGGCUAACUCUGUGCCAGCCGCCGCGGUAACAC
rnacentral:rRNA from 1 species